rnacentral:tRNA from 1 species
GGAGAGAUGGCCGAGCCGGCUGAAGGCGCUCGCCUGCUAAGCGAGUGUAGGAGGAAACUUCUACCGAGGGUUCGAAUCCCUCUCUCUCCGCCA